AAUUACUUGUAUUUUUUACAGUAUUUAUGAAAAGUUAAUAUCCUUCCUAAAAAUUCAAGAAAAUGGUACAAAUUAUCCACCGAGUUUAUUUGAUCCAGAUGCCUGGGCCAAAGAACCAAGUUAUGAAGCUCUAGCAAAAACUCAAAAGGAGGCUUAUGAGAAAAAAGAAAAAGAGAGAGCUAAAAGGACACAGAUUGAGUUUCUGUCAGGAACAAAAAAGCCUGUAAUYCCUGCUACAGUUGCAGCUACUGGUGAUGAAAC